rnacentral:rRNA from 1 species
CAGCAGCCCCGGUAAUACGGAGGAUGCAAGCGUUAUCCGGAUUUAUUGGGUUUAAAGGGUCCGUAGGCGGAUCUUUAAGUCAGUGGUGAAAGCCCACAGCUCAACUGUGGAACUGCCAUUGAUACUGGAGAUCUUGAGUGUAGUAGAAGUAGGCGGAAUAGGGCAUGUAGCGGUGAAAUGCAUAGAUAUGCCCUAGAACACCGAUUGCGAAGGCAGCUUACUAUGUUACAACUGACGCUGAGGGACGAAAGCGUGGGGAGCAAACAGGAUUAGAUACCCUGGUAGUCCACGCUGUAAACGAUGAUUACUCGCUGUUGGCGACAUACAGUCAGCGGCCAAGCGAAAGCAUUAAGUAAUCCACCUGGGGAGUACGCCSGCAACGGUGAAACUCACA